rnacentral:piRNA from 1 species
UNGUUUACUUGGGUGCAUAGUUAUUAU